UCCAAUAUUUUUGGAAUGACUUAUAAUUUAGAACCGAUGGAGUAUAUUGCUAUGUUAUUUAUCAAGAAUGGUUGCUACCUCCAUCCGUACGUACGCCCCUAGCGUGGUGGUCCAUCUCCUACCUGUGGGGCGCUCUCAAGGCUCAAGAGCAAGAGAGGAUGGUGCGUCAUGCGCGACGGUGCAUUUGGCUCUCCUCCGCUAAAGGACAAAGGUGAAGUGAUCUCUAUAUGGAUUCUUUGCCAACAUAUGCAGAGAUGGAAAAUGGUGUAAAGGAUAAUAACACCGUCGCACUCGCACACUAAGGGCAUGUUUGGAAAGUAGUAAGGCCUUGUUU
rnacentral:lncRNA from 1 species